AAAAACGAUAGCACAGUAACCAAACACGUCUUAAGACACGUCGGAUCGUUACAGUACAGCACCGGAGCAACGAUGCUCAUGGUUGUCAAUGGUUCCUGCGUAGGCCUCUGAUCCCGUUGCUCUUGACCUACACGAGGCGCCGAAGUUACGGUUCUGGCUUUCGUCGCCGUCGGAAUUGGCCUUCAUUGAAUAAUCGUCUGUGAGCUCGUUCAUUUUGAUUCUCGUCGUGAUCGGAAUGGGUUCGGUUGGGGCGGCGUUGGCACGAUAUUAGUUGCCGAAACCUUCAUGUCCGAGCCCAUCCUCUAGCCGUUUGCCAGAGUCAGGGUGCUGUGUUUUCCUAGAUGAUGCGUUCGAGUUACAGUAUUGCUUUUCGUCGCUGUCGGGAUUGGCCUUCUGUGAGCUCGUUCAUUUUGGAACUCUUCCGCCCUCGAACAACACCAAAGGGUUUCUUAUUGGCUUCUCAAUAUGUCAAAAAAAAAAAAAAAAAAAAAGUCCUUGUAUAGGCACCCAGGAAUUCUUUUCAUCUGAGCAGAAGAUACGCACGGAUUUUGAAGAAUUGGGUUCUAUUUAAUUCUCCGGAUGAUGAGCGACUUAGUGACAAACGGCCACUAAUAGUCACUGUUCUAUAUGCCAUCCAAUUGUGCUCCCGCUUGAUCUCAGCAGCACUCACUGCAAUGGUACUGAUACCCAUCAGUAAGCAUUCUUACCUCUUCAAUCCUUCCUUUUCUCACCAGAGAAGUGAUAGUACUUUUCGGUUGGCAGAUUCCCAGAAACCAUUUAAUUGUACAAAUGAGAUAUAAAGCCAACCCAAGUUAAGAAGUCUAAUCCUUAGAUUGCUACUCUUAUUAAUGGAUGAUGAAGGGGGCCAGAGACAAGAUUAUAUGCCUGAAAAGUCUCAGUCCAAAUUAAUCGAAGUUUAAAAAAAAAAAAAAUCCAAUCAAGCUUCAAUCAGCAAACUCAUUAGCCUCGUUCCCAUGAGAUUUUUUUUUUUUUUUAGUGUAAGAAGCAAGCUAAUGAAGGUGAUACCUGUAUGUAAUUUUUAUUUAAUAUAUUAGUAUUAUCGAA